rnacentral:rRNA from 1 species
GACAGAGGGGGCUAGCGUUGUUCGGAAUGACUGGGCGUAAAGGGCGCGUAGGCGGUUUUACAAGUCAGGUGUGAAAGCCUUGGGCUUAACCCAAGAAUUGCGCUUGAUACUGUAAAGCUAGAGUUCGAGAGAGGAAGGCGGAAUUCCUAGUGUAGAGGUGAAAUUCGUAGAUAUUAGGAAGAACACCAGAGGCGAAGGCGGCCUUCUGGAUCGAUACUGACGCUGAGGCGCGAAAGCGUGGGGAGCGAACGGG